AACAGCUGCAUCCAUUCAGAGCUGUAAAGCACCAUACCUGUCGUUUGGGAGGAGGAAAUCCUUGCAAACUCAUCCUUGUCUUUUAGGGAGCUUCCACAAAGGGCAGAAAUGCUGCUGCCUAAGGGGAAGGGAGCCUGGGUUUGAUGCCUUUCCUGCUCAAUGGUGACUUGGAUUUGUGCCUCUCACCUUCCAUAUGUGUGGUAGAGCUCUUGGUUGGAGCUUGAGCACCUGCAAGCUGCUGGCUGGAGUAAAGGAAGGUGGGAACUGAAUUGCAUGGAACUGGAUCUUCAAGAACAUUGGUGACAGAAGAAGCUGAGAUUUUGAGUGUGUCUGCUCUGAGGAGCAGCAGAGAGCCAGGCAUGGUCACCAGAUUCCUUCUUACAUUGUGUACCUAAGUGGCCAGGUUUUUAUUGCAUUUCCCACACAUUGCAAGCAUUUGGCUUCUGUGGAAUCAUCAUCCCAGUCCUGAGCCCUGAUGAACCUCCCGUGUUCCUCUGCACAGCUUGCUUCCAGCAGUCCCAAAACCCAGCUCUGCUUCUAUUGUACGGCUGACAGCAGCUCCAGG
rnacentral:lncRNA from 1 species